rnacentral:rRNA from 1 species
UACGUAGGUGGCAAGCGUUAUCCGGAAUUACUGGGCGUAAAGCGCACGCAGGCGGUCUUUUAAGUUUGACGUGAAAGCUCCCGGCUUAACUGGGAGAGGUCGUUGAAGACUGGGAGACUUGAGGCAAUGAGAGGGGUGUAGAAUUCCCGGUGUAGUGGUGGGAAUGCGCAGAUAUCAGGAGGAACACCGGUGGCGAAGGCGGGGUCUCUGGGCCGAUACUGACGCUGAGGAGCGAAAGCGUGGGGGAGCGAA